rnacentral:tRNA from 1 species
CAGGAUGUAGCUUAGUGGUAGAGUGCUUGCUUAGCAUGCAUAAGGCCCUGGGUUCUAUCACCAGCAUCAUAA